rnacentral:lncRNA from 1 species
CAUUGUUAACAACCAAGUCUCAAGUCAAAAUGCAUUCGGGUACCAACAUGCGAAACCUUUACCUCAUGGCUCUAGUAAGCUGUGUGAUAUUAUUCUCCAUGGUGGGAUGGCUACAUUGGCUUUUUCAUGCUCAGUGACACGAUUCCGGAUACUACUCAUUCCACGACACUUUUUUCCCCUCGAAAACAACCGAUGUGUGAAUAUACCAUGACCCCCCAAGGCGUUCGAACGAUUCAUUGCUGGUUGAGGCAUUUUGUGUGAUUAUAGCGUUGUGGGUAGGGGACCCAAUGACAGCACGACAAAGCCGGCUGGCACUAGUAUUAUGGGUCUUCUAAGAGAAUUUGAAAAUUUGAAGCCAUCAGAUAAAUGAAAUUCAAAAGAGAGCAUUGUAUGACACUAGCCCCUAUAAAUGUACUGCCUUAAAUGGGAAGGCAAUCUGAAAACAUGUCAGAAGCGUAGUACCCAUAAGACCUCUAAUUUUACACCCUUACACCCCAUAUUGCCCAAAAAGGUAAUAUGUCCAUUACUAUCGUUUCAAGCAAUGUACGAUUCACUCACGCUCAUCUCGCUGGUGCGGUCCCGUCCUGUCCAAGCUCAAAUUCGUUGCAAGGUACUGGGAGAUCUCACCUGUUAUCGUCAAAUGCCCUGAUUAUAGAUCGACUGCCACAGGGACACGCUGUGCAUAAG